rnacentral:misc_RNA from 1 species
CCACGGUCGCGUCAUUUCGUCGCCUGGGGCGGUCGGUUGCCAGGCGGGCGUUCCGAACCAAUCGUGCAUUUCCUUCUCGACUUGGCGCGGCUCAUAUCCCUGCUCGGGCCAGGCACCCAAGUCACCCGUCUCUGUCACCCCAAGUAUCAAGGGCCGAUCGCAGACGAACUAAGGCAUCCUGGUGUUCCCGCUGGGGAGAUUCGAUCAGGUUCACGACUUCGUGCGGGUCGGCCUGGGUGUCGUACAACUCCUCGCAGGGACCGGUCCUCUGCAUCAGGUCCAACGGGGGCCCGUGGAGUUCGUUCCGGGUUUGCAACUCCCGCAUCAGCGGCAUAAUCAGGAAACACUUUUCCUUGUACCGAUUCAGUGAAGCAAACGUCGGCCCUCGGGAGUAGGUGCGGAUGUAAUGAUACCGCGCCUCACGGGCCGAGCGGAUCCGCUGCUCCGUCUCGUCGAUGCGAUCCCGUGCCGAGAACGCGACGGCUCGCGGUUCAUCGGCGCUUUGGCCCAGGAAGAUCCGUCCCUGCAUCAGCGGCGGCUUUUCACCUCCGGCGAGAAUCAACGUCGUGGCCGUCACAUCGAUCAGGCUGAGAAUACGAUCUUCGACGCGGCCAGGCUCCAGUUGCGGCGGCAUGGGGAAGUUCUUUGGCCAGUGGAUGAUGAGCGGAACCCUGAGGCCGCUGUCGUAGCACCAGUGAAUGCCGCGCGGCUCCAACCGGCCAUUGUCGCCGAAGAACAUGAUGAUGGUGUCAUCUUCCAGGCCAUCGGCCCGAAGCCUGUCCAAGACCUUGCCGAACCGGGCAUCCAUCCCAGAGACCGAAUUCAGGUAUCGCGCCCACUCCGCGCGGGACGAUGGGAUGGUCCGGGUAGUAAGGCGGCGGCGUGACAUCCUUCGCCUUGGCAUGCUGGACGUGCUCCUGUUCGCCAACCCACGGCACGCGGUCCUUGGACGCGGACUGGCGGUCGUAGAUGUCGUACUCCGACUCGAACCGCGUUCACAACCGCGAAGAACGGCCGCUUCCCCGCAAGGGACUCCCAAGCCUUCGAGUGGUCGUGGUAGAUUGGUCCCUCGUUCACGAAAUUCAAGUCGAGCUUGCCGGUCCCCACCUGGUCGCUGCCGAUGGUCUCGAUGUUCGCGGUGAAGUAGCCGAGUUCCCGAAGGCGGUGGGUAAUUGGCUGCACACCGGGCGGAAGCCGGAAGGUGUCGGUCCGGUGCAUCCGCAUGGCGUGAGUAUUGGUCGUGGUUUGGUACAUUCCGGUGAAAAACGCCGACCGGCUCGGCGAGCAAGCGGGGUUCGUGGCGAACACGUGGGUGUAACGAGUUCCUUGGGCCGCGAGGCGGUCGAGGUUGGGUGUGUGGACCCCGCUUUUGCCGUAGCACCCAAGAUCGUGGCUCAGGUUCUCGCCGAUGAGCCAGAGAAUGUUCGGCUUUUGGCCCGCGCCCCAGGCCGAGGACGAAAUGAGCAACAGCAACAGGGCGACCGUCCCAAACAAGCGCAUCGGUUCCCCUCGGGUUACGGGUUGAUAAAGCCGGGUGGCUUUCAUGCGAGAAUGAUACCACAACCGAACGGAAGGAGCACAAACUUUGCAUGAUGUGAUAGAAUGGCAAACCGCUAAUGAUGCUGAUCGAAUUCCAACUUUAGGAAAGCGUCUCAUGAAUUCCUCAAAGCCAUUCGUUCCUUGCCUGGCAAUCACAUUACUGCUUGCCGUAGGCGUCACAGCGGCGGAGUCUGCGAAGCCGAAUAUCCUGUUGAUCGUCGGCGACGACAUGGGAUACGCGGAUGUUGGUUUCCACGGCUCGAAAGAUAUUCCCACGCCGCAUCUCGAUGCCUUGGCCAAGUCGGGCGUAACAUUCACUAACGGUUACGUCACCGGACCCUAUUGUUUCGCCGACUCGGGCGGGGCUUUUGACGGGUCGCUAUCAGCAGCGGUUCGGUCACGAGUUCAAUUCCGGCGGCGCAGGAGGCGGAUUGCCGGUCACGGAAUCGACAUUGGCCGAUCGGCUCAAAUCGGCCGGAUACGCCACGGGGCUGGUGGGCAAAUGGCAUUUGGGUUCGCAGGCCGCGAUGCACCCUCAACAGCGCGGGUUCGACGAGUUCUUUGGGUUUCUCGGCGGGGCGCACAGUUUCUUCGAUCCCGCUGGAAUCCUGCGCGGCACAGAGCAAGUGCGAGAGAUGGAUUACACCACGGACGCCUUCGGUCGCGAGGCGACGGCGUUCAUCGAGCGUCACGAGGGGAAACCGUGGUUUUUGUAUCUCGCGUUCAACGCGGUCCAUACCCCGAUGCAUGCCACCGACGACCGGCUGG